rnacentral:rRNA from 1 species
CAGAGGGUGCGAGCGUUGUCCGGAAUCACUGGGCGUAAAGGGCGCGUAGGUGGCGCGACAAGUCAGUGGUGAAAGCUCGACGCUCAACGUCGAGUCGGCCACUGAUACUGUUGGGCUUGAGCACUGUAGAGGCUAAUGGAAUUCCGGGUGUAGCGGUGGAAUGCGUAGAGAUCCGGAAGAACACCGGUGGCGAAGGCGGUUAGCUGGGCAGUUGCUGACACUGAGGCGCGACAGCGUGGGGAGCAAACAGGAUUAGAUACCCUGGUAGUCCACGCCGUAAACGAUGGGCACUAGAUGCUUGGGGGAGCGACCCCCUGAGUGUCGACGCUAACGCAUUAAGUGCCCCGCCUGGGGAGUACGGCCGCAAGGCUG